ensembl:lncRNA LACTB2-AS1 LACTB2 antisense RNA 1
GCGCCUGCUCAGCAGCCUGAGGCCGCGGCCGGGUGCCCUCCUGCCCUCCUGGCCAUCCAGGGAUUGGGUGUCAGUGGCCUGUUGCACAUUGUCACUUCUACAAGUGACUAACACCGUCAGGAUAAUCUAAAACUACGAAUACUACCUGACUCCACAAGGGUACGGUGUAUUCUCCAGUUUUAGCAUCUGCCUUAAAAAUUACCUCAGAGUUAAGCACUGCUGGGGACUUAUUUCUACUCUUGUUUUCCUUCUAACAGGUCCCUCAGCUGUAGGUCUGUUGGAGUUUGCUGGAGGUCCACUCCAGAUGCUGUUUGCCUGGGUAUCAGCAGUGGAGGCUGCAGAACAGCAAAUAUUGCAGAACAGUAAAUAUUGCUGCCUGAUCCUUCCCUCUGGAAGCUUCGUCCCAGAAGGCCACCUGCCUAUAUGAGGAUUCUACCUUCCCUGCUACCAGCCACUUCACUAACUUUUUCUGGAGAGAUGACUUCAAAAUACUCAAAGUCGCAAGAUAAAUACACAGAAACGAUUAACGUUGCACAGAGUUGACCCAGUCAUUCUGUAAAUUGCUGCAGAAAAAUUGGAUUUAUUUAUUAUAUAUUUUACACAAAUUAGAAAGAAAGCAAAGUUAUUUAGUAAGGUAACUAUAUUUGUCCAGAAUCUUCCUGUGACAGUCUUCUUCUGGGAACAGACUUUGCUCACUCCAGCCACAGGGGUAGCUGGGCUAAAUGCAGUACCUAAUGUUUCCUUGACCACAGGGACUGGUCUAAGGAAUGGGUAAUGAGCCAGUAUAAAU